UGGGGAAUAUUGCACAAUGGGCGAAAGCCUGAUGCAGCAACGCCGCGUGAGUGAUGAAGGCCUUCGGGUUGUAAAGCUCUGUCUUUUGGGACGAUAAUGACGGUACCAAAGGAGGAAGCCACGGCUAACUACGUGCCAGCAGCCGCGGUAAUACGUAGGUGGCAAGCGUUGUCCGGAUUUACUGGGCGUAAAGGAUGCGUAGGCGGAUUUUUAAGUGAGAUGUGAAAACCCUAAGCUUAACUUGGGGACUGCAUUUCAUACUGGAAAUCUAGAGUGCGGGAGAGGAGAAUGGAAUUCCUAGUGUAGCGGUGAAAUGCGUAGAGAUUAGGAAGAACACCAGUGGCGAAGGCGAUUCUCUGGACCGUAACUGACGCUGAGGCAUGAAAGCGUGGGUAGCAAACAGGAUUAGAUACCCUGGUAGUCCACGCCGUAAAUGAUGAGUACUAGGUGUAGGAGGUAUCGACCCCUUCUGUGCCGCAGUUAACACAAUAAGUACUCCGCCUGGGAAGUACGAUCGCAAGAUUAAAACUCAAAUGAAUUGACGGGGGUCAUAGCUGUUUUUCCU
rnacentral:rRNA from 1 species